rnacentral:rRNA from 1 species
GAAAGAUACUCAUGUGCAUGGUGAAUGCCUUGGGUCUUGAUGCCGAAGAAGGACGUGCCAGGCUGCGAUAAGCCUCGAGAAGCUGCCAAGAAGCGCUAUACUCGGGGAUUUCCGAAUGGGGAAACCCAACUACUGCAAAGUAGUUAUUUCUUUAUUGAAAGCUAAAUUUACUUUAGCCAUAGAUAAAGAGAUGGUGACCCGGUGAACUGAAACAUCUUAGUAACCGGAGGAAAAGAAACUAAAAAAACCUAAUUUAUUAGGUAGGUAUUUCCCAAGUAGCGGCGAGCGAAAGGGAACUAGCCCAAACUCAGACAAGAUCUAUUCAAUUAGAUCCGUUGAGACCUUGUUUACAAGAUCUUAACGCUCUGGGGGUAUGGAAACUCUAUGCCUUUAAGGCAAAAAAGUUAGAAAAUUUUCUGUAGAAGAAGCUUGCUGGAAAGCGGCGCCAUAGAGAGUAAUAGCCUCGUAAUCGAAACAGAAAAUCUUUUUGAGUUAUCCUGAGUAACACGAGACACGUGUAACCUCGUGUGAACGAAGCAGGACCAUCUGCUAAGGCUAAACACAUCAAGACACCGAUAGUGAACCAGUACCGUAAGGGAAAGGUGAAAAGAACCCCGGGAAGGGGAGUGAAAUAGAACCUGAAACCGUGCACAGACAAGCUGAUAGAGCCUGUUCACUUUAUGUGAAUGGGUGAUAUUGUGCCUAUUGAAAAAUGAGCCAGCGAGUUAAUGGUACGCGCAAGCUUAAGCGAUUCAGUCGUGGAGGCGUAGGGAAACCGAGUCCUAACCGGCGAUUAGUGCGUGCUAUUAGACCCGAAGCCAAGUGAGCUAACCAUGGGCAGGGUGAAGUCUGUCGAAAGUCAGAUGGAGGCCCGAACCGAUGUAUGUGGAAAAAUGCUCGGAUGACCUGUGGUUAGGGCUGAAACGGCAAUCGAACUUGGCGAUAGCUGGUUCUCCCCGAAAUAUAUGUAGGUAUAGCCUUGAUCUUAUACGGGUUGUGAGGUAGAGAUACUGAAAAGAGAUUGGGCGCUUUGCGUACCAACUCUUACCAAACUCCGAAUGCACAAUCCUUUGAUCAGGAGUCAGUUCUAGGGAGCAAGUUCCUAGCGCGAAAGGGAAACAUCCCAGACCAUCAGUUAAGGUCCCAAAUCUUUGCUUAGUGAGAAAGGCAGUAAAGCUGUUUAGACAGCUAGGAGGUUAGCUUAGAAGCAGCAAUCCUUUAAAGAAAGCGUAACAGCUCACUAGUUAAACGGCUUUGCGCCUAAAAUUUAACGGGACUCAAGCAAAGAACCGACACUAUGGUUUUGUCGUUCCUUCGGGAGCGGCAGAAGGUAGGGGAGCAUUGAUGUCAUCCGUCUCUGACGGAUCUCGGCUGUGAAGGUAGACUCGGGAGAGCUACUGGAGCGUCAUCAAGUGAGAAUGCUGGCAUGAGUAACGAGAAGGUGGUGAAAACCCACCUCGCCGAAAAUCUAAGGGUUCCUCCGCUAUGUCAGUCAUCGGAGGGUUAGUCGACCCUAAGGCGAGGCCGAAAGGCGUAGCCGAUGGAUAGCAGGUUAAUAUUCCUGCACUACUAUAAAACCGUUACCACCGAUGGAGGGACGGAGUUUGAUAAGUUGAGCCCAUUAAGGAUUUGGGUCCCAAGAACGAGUUAGAAUGCGUAGGAAAAUCCGCGCUUUCGCUUAAGGCAAGUUCGAGGGAGAAGGCCGUCUUCGGACGGAGUAUUCGACUGCGUUAAGCUUCCUGGAAAAGCUUCUAGGGAGGUUUUAUAGUAAUCGUACCGCAAACCGACACAGGUAGAUAGGUAGAGAAUACCAAGGCGAACGAGAGAAUCGUGACCGAGGAACUAGGCAAAUUACAUCCGUAACUUAGGGAAAAGGAUGCCCUAUCGCAAGAUAGGGGGCACAGAAAUGGCUCAAGCGACUGUUUACUAAAAACACAGGUCUCUGCUAAACUCGUAAGAGGACGUAUAGGGGCCGACACCUGCCCAGUGCCCGUAAGUUAAGACUGGAGGUGAUUUCUUCUCAAUGGGAAGAAUGAGCUUUCGGUUCAAGCUCGGGUGAACGGCAGCAAUAACUAUAAUUGUUCUAAGGUAGCGUAAUCCCUUGCCGGGUAAGUUCCGGCCUGCACGAAAGGUGUAACGACUUGAGCACUCUCUUAGUCACGAACUCGGUGAAAUUGAACUACCGGUAAAGAUGCCGGUUACCUGUUGCUGGACAGAUAGACCCCGUGGAGCUUUACUGUAUUCUGAUAUUGGUGCGUGUUGUUAACUGUGUAGAGUAGGAGGGAGUGUUUUGUCGCCCAAGGGCAAUGAGACACGUCAAUGAAACACCUCUCUUUUAACAAUGCAAGCCUAACUGUCUCCCGUUAAGCCGGGAGGAGGACAAUGUUUGAAGGACAGUUUAUCUGGGGCGGAUUCCUGCUAAAGAGUAACGCAGGAGCACAAAGGUUCCCUUGUCUCGGAUGGAAAUCGAGAUGUAAGCGUAAAGGUAUAUGGGAGCUUGACUGCAAGACAGACAAGUCGCGCAGAUACGAAAGUAGGUCUUAGUGAUCUUCCAUGAGCCUAGUGGUAGGCCUGGAACUUAUCGGAUAAAAGUUACCCCGGGGAUAACAGGCUAAUAGUGCCCGAGCGCCCACAGCGGCGGCACUGUUUGGCACCUACAAGGAAAUAGAAAGGGGUGCUAUCGGAGAAAUCCGGUACCAAAAAUUCGGCUAAUAACGGUGGAGUCCUAACGCACAUUGUGGUAAUGUUAGUGCGUGGAUAAUACCGUGGGAAGUCUAACAAAAGUUCAGAAAUCCAUAAUAACAGGAAAAUUGUUGGGAGAUGGAUCUCUAAGAAGGAGAAAGAACACUCUUUUAGAGAUUAAUCAUUCUUACAAACAGAAAGAGUAUGUAUUUUGGUUGUACGAGAAGUUGGAAUCUUAUGUUUCAACUCCUCCGAAGUUGAGAAAAUCCGGGAAAAACAGAUUUUCUUAUCGAUUUACAACCAGAAGCAUACCCGAAUUAAAUGUGUUUUAUGAGGAUUACUAUUCCUCUAAGGCAUAUAAAACCGUUCCCAGAAACCUACAG